AAACCAAGAUUUACUCCCCACUCAUAUCUCCGCCACCGUCCCACGCCGGAACUCCCCAGGGCACGUCGCCGCCGCCGGCGAUAUCUGUGGCACCAAGCAUUCAACUCUUUAUCUCCUUUCUCUAGAUUUUGGUUGUUUGGAUUGCAUUUGAUCACGCAAAAAGGAAUAACAAAGACGACGUAGACACGGCGUCUUAGGACCUCUUAGGGUUUAGACUUGAUGGCUGGUAGUCGUAAAAAGGGAGGGAAGAAAGCAAAAGUUAAGGACUUACGUUUAGGCGAUCUUGUUCUUGCCAAAAUCAAGGGUUUCCCUGCUUGGCCUGCGAAGAUCAGCCGGCCUGAAGAUUGGGAGCAAGAACCUGACCCUAAGAAAUAUUUUGUCCAGUUCUUUGGAACACAAGAAAUAGCUUUUGUGCCCCCUGCAGAUAUUCAGGCAUUUACUAGUGAGACAAAGAUUAAAUUGUCUACCAAGUGUCAAAUUAAAACGAAGUACUUUGUCCAAGCUGUGAAGGAAAUCUGUGUGGAAUAUGAUGAAUUACAUGAAGAGAAGAGCAGAGGCUUGAGAGAUGAAGCUGAUGGAUCAAAACCUGGCUGUGAGGCUUCAUCUGGUGAUGGAGUCAACGUUGAUGGUGCGGAGGCCAACUUAAAGAAUGGAACAGCUGCUGUUGCACCUGUUGAAGAUGCCAGCAGUGAGGGAAAAACUGAUCUUGCUUCUAAUACGAGGUGCCAUUCACGCAUAGAUGAGAAUAAUAGUGAAGAUAAAAAGCCAUCAGUUUUGAGUGAUGUGUAUUAUGGCUCAUGCCCAGUUAUGUCUUCUGAGGGGAAACAUAAAAUAUCUUAUGGUGAACAACCUAAAAUGGAGGUAUUAUCUCCAUCAUCUUUAGAUAAACCUUCUCAUAUAAAGGUGGAAUUUUCUGAUGAUAAACUUGCUACUGUCAAUAGUACUAAGAGAACAUUGAGAGAAGAUCAGAAAUCAAAGAAUAUGGCUCCUGGGCCAAAGAAAAGAACUGGGAAAGGAGAGAAAAGCAGCAGCUCAGAUGUAAAAUCAUUGAGGGAUGAUACAUCUGAAGGUUGUCUUGAUCUGUCUGAGUCUGAGGAGCGAUUGAAAGAUGGGCGAAAAGUCAAAGUCUCAGGCAGUCGUGCACGAAAAUCCUCACAAUAUACUCUCAAAGCAGAUUCUAAUUACACUGGUGGUAAGAAGGGAAAGGAAUUGCUGAAAACCAAAAGCAACUUCAAGGCCACUGAUGAUGUACAGGGCACAGUGGCCAAUUCUAAACCUGAGACUGCUGGUAAAAAAAGGUGUGAACCUGGACUUGGAAAGCCUAAAUUAGGAACAGAUGAAACUUUACAUCCUGCCAAAAAGUCAAAGUUUGUAGAUAUGAAAAUUGAUGCCUCCAAGGGAUCUCUUGGCAAAAACAAGAAGAGUAGUUCUUCAAUUUCUAACAAUGUCAGGGACAAAGAAGUUAAAAAAUCAAAGUUGAAAAAAUCUAUAUCUCAUGUUGUAGCACCGAGAGCCCCAACGAAAGCUAGUUCUGAUGUUUCUGAUGAUGAAGCUGUGGUGCCCUUAUCAAAUUGUCCUCAGCAGGCUUUGGAGGCUAUGUCUGAUUCUGCCUCUCUUAAUUCUGAUGUUAAAAUUGGAAUAAACCCUGUUGAACUGAAGAGUGGUACACCAAGUUCCAAUGUGAAAAGUUCAGCUACCCGAUUGCCAAAAAGGCGGAGAGCUGUUUGUCUUUUUGUUGAUGAUGAAGAAGAAGAUUCUGAGACUCCAGUUCAUGGAGGGCUUGCCCACAAUGUUAAGGUAACUUUUGUCGGCUCUGAUGCUUUACAGAGCAUUGAUGUAACUCACGCAACUUCUGUCGAUGCUGAAGGUAGUGCUGGAAAUUCCACACAUUAUGAGAAUAGUGGUCUUGUGGAGGCUUCUUCACAAUUAUCAAAUGAUUUUGUGCAACCUCUUCAACCAAAGACUUCCGAAAGGACUUCUAUGCAUGCCUCCAUCACUCCUGAAAGAUCAAAAGCAGAGGAGUUUUGUUUCAAGGUGGCUAAACCUGUCUUGAUUUCCCCAAGGAAGUCCCCUCAUCUAGUGUCUGCCACCAAACAAGUUGAACAAAACAGAACUACUAAAGCUACUGUUAAGGUAUCCGGUAACACAACACAGAAAAAGGCUCUAUCUGGCUCUGUUAAGGGGCCGGGAGUGGUUUCUGAUGCUUUGAAGUCUUCUGAGGAUCAGUUUUUGAGUCAAAGAUUGGAUGUCUUUGGAAAAGAUAGGAGCAAUUCACUGACUGAUGCCAAGACUCCAGAUUCUACGAUGUCUAUGAAGCAUCUUAUUGCAGCUGCCCAGGCAAAAAGAAGACAAGCGCACUCUCAACAAUGUUCUCUUGGAAAUCCCAGUUCUGUUUUUGUAUCGAUGUCUGAUGUUCAGGGGGCAAUCCCCAGCCCUGCAGUUCAGCCUUUUCCAUCUGCAAUCGACAAUGUAAUUCAGGAUGAUGUGCAGAGAUUUGCUCACCAGACAAAUCUAUUUUCUCCAUCAACUCUUGGUCACCAGUCAGUGUCUCAUGAUCACCAAGAUGCUGAAGAGACUGAAGAGAGAAGAGCUAGUUCAGGACACAUUGCUAUAGGAAACUCUCUUAGUGGUGGCACUGAGGCAGCUGUUGCACGGGAUGCUUUUGAAGGAAUGAUAGAGACUUUAUCGAGGACUAAAGAAAGUAUAGGACGUGCAACCCGCCUUGCCAUUGAUUGUGCAAAGUAUGGCAUAGCAAAUGAAGUUGUUGAACUUCUCAUCAGGAAGCUAGAAUGUGAGCCCAGUUUUCAUCGUAAGGUUGACCUGUUCUUUCUUGUUGACUCAAUCACCCAAUGUUCACAUAAUCAGAAAGGAAUCGCUGGUGCUUCUUAUAUCCCUACAGUUCAAUCAGCAUUGCCCCGUCUCCUUGGUGCAGCUGCUCCACCAGGAGCAAGUGCUCGUGAAAAUCGUCGCCAAUGUCUCAAGGUUUUAAGGUUGUGGCUUGAGAGGAAAAUUUUGCCUGAAUCUAUUCUGCGAGGCUAUAUGGACAACAUUGGAGUUUCGAAUGAUGAUACAAUUUCAGGAUUUUCCCUAAGGCGCCCGUCUCGAGCUGAGCGUUCUAUAGAUGAUCCUAUAAGAGAAAUGGAAGGCAUGCUCGUUGAUGAGUAUGGCAGUAAUGCUACAUUUCAGCUCCCUGGAUUUCUGACUUCUAAUGUAUUUGAAGAUGAAGACGAUCUUUCAAGCAGUCCUUGCAGAGAAGCUGCUGAUGGAUCACCACAGGAAGGAGCUCCUGCUUUAGGAGAGCUAGAAACAUGUGCAGUUACCCUAGGUGACAGGCCUCAUCACAUCUUAGAAGACGUAGAUGGCGAACUUGAAAUGGAAGAUGUUUCUGGGCAUAUGAAGAAUGAUCAACCAUCCACAAAUGAUGGUCUUGAAAUGGACUGGCAGCAGCAUGGGAUUACGAAACUGGCUUCAAAUAGCUCUAAUGAAUUCCCUCCUCUACCAGAGGGUUCCCCUCCACCCCCACCUCCUUUACUGCCUUCCCCACCCCCACUUCCAACAUCUCCAUUACAACUUCCACCUCCACCUCCACAACUACCUGCUCCCGUGCCUCCUUCGAGCCCUCCUCCACCCUUCAUACCUCAACCAUCUGUGCCGACUCAAACGUCACUGCUAUCGCAGCCUAUGCUAUCACCCCAAUCAUCAAUACAGUCUUCACCACAGUUAGCAUAUCAAACACCUGUACCUAGCGAAUUCCAGGGCACACCAAAUGGUAAUCAGAUAGUUCAAAUGGCCGGAAAUACUCCUCAUGGCGGCCAUAUUGAUGCUGCCAUGAAAAGUGAACUGUUUCCACAGCAAUCACCGUGCUUUGUAACAGGUUUGUGCAAUUCUAGAGAACCUUCUGGAUACAUUUCUUCAAGGCAAUCGGAAGUUGGACAUAAUGAAAUGUACUUAAAUGUUCAAUGCUCUCAACCAAGUCAACAGCUUCAACCUGGUAAUACAGCCUUUGUGCAAAGGCUUUUACCCCCAAAUCUGCCACAAACCUCAUCUAGCCAUUUCUCAUUCGCAAAGCCUUCUAUGCUACCACAUCCUCAGCAUUCAUAUCCUCAAUUCUCCCUGCCGCCACAACAUGAUGGCCGGGGGCCAUUUGUUGCUGAUGAACAGUGGAGAAUGUCCAUAGGAGAAUACAAUACUGAUAAUCAACCUGGUGGGUGGGUAGCAGGAAGAAAUCCAUCACAUUGUGGUCCAAUGUUUGUCUCGGAAGGUUACUUUAGACCACCUGUUGGAAGACCAUCCUCAAAUAAUAUGGGCUUCCCCCUCAAUUCUACCAAAAAUUUACCAGCUGGAGCUCCAAAUACAGCUCAUGGUGUGUUUCCAUGUCAACCAGACAUGCCUGCCAUUAAUUGUUGGAGACCAACUUGAGACUGGGAAAGUAGCGUCAUUAGGAUAACAGGAAAAUGCUAUGCUCAAUAUCUUAUAUCCUCAUCCUUUCCAGUUAUUAGUUAAUUAUUGCUUUCUUUGUUAAAUUGAUGUUUUUUUUGGUUGGCUGCAAGACAAAUUACAUGGAAGGGGCUCAUUUUUUGGACAAAAUAAUACCACUACAUGAAUGCAGUGAUGACAACUUCUGGGACUCUUGGCCGGAUUGUGCAUAUUAUAAUUUUUCCUGACAAUUGUAUCCCAGGAACAUCCUACACAUUUCUUCCUCGGUUUUGGCAAAUUGUUGGACCUGAAAUGUCUAUUUAUGUUGUUGCAACUUGGAUAUACACCAUUGUUGUCAGGUGCGAAGCAGAGUAACUACUGCAACAUGUUGAGGUAAAUAUUUUACAUGGAUUGUUGAGCCAUGGCAAUGCUUGGAUUUUUUUUUCUAACUAGUUAGAUAGGAAUAGUUGUUACAAGGAUGUUUUUUGUCAAAGUGUAGGCAGUUAGAAAUUACUUGAAAUUUUUUGUUAAAACCUCCACGUUUAUAAAGGAAUCAUGUAGGAUUCUGUAUAUUACAAAUACAUGAGUUUCUUUUUUCCU